rnacentral:lncRNA from 1 species
GAAAACAACAGAAACAUCUUUUCCUAUAAAUUUCCAAGAUCCAACAAAUAAAUAACAAAAAAAAUUAUAUAAUUACAGUAAUGAAAUCAUGGGAAAUAUAUUCAAAAGAUGAGCAUGACUUCUACAAACAAAGGACAAAAAAACAACUUACAAAGAAAAAGAAAUUCAAACCAGAUAUGAUUUUUUCCCCUUCUUUUGUUGUCUUUGAUUUUGUUCUUGGAUGUAAAAGUACACUGAAGAAGAUGAAGUCCCACAAUGUUUUCGGUAGGAUGGAGGAGAAGACAACAACACCAAACACAUAUUUUGGUCACGGUCACAGUGUUUACCGGCACGGUGGCCGCCGACGAAGGUGUUCUGAUCUUAAAUUUUCUUUGUGGGUAUUGUAAAGGAGAUGAAGGAGAUUAUUUAUAUGGUGGUGAUAUUUCAAAAGAUUUUCUAUGGAGGUCAAGAUCUAGGUGAGAAAGUGAUAAUUAAGAUUUAAAAAAAAAAUUGUGCAAAGGUGAAGAAAUGGAACAUGUUGGUCGUGAGAAGAAGAAGAGGAGAUGUUGAUGAAGGAGAGUUUAUGAUAUUGAAGGAAGAUGUUGGAAGAAAAAAAAAGAAAAAAAAAAGGGAAGGAAUGGAGCGGCUGNNN